GGUUGCUUGGUCCGAGUGGUCGAAGGCACCAGAUUCAAAACCUGGUUUAUCGUGGGUUCGAAUCCCAUGGCAACCA